rnacentral:rRNA from 1 species
GACGAACGCUGGCGGCGUGCUUAACACAUGCAAGUCGAACGGAGUGGCGAACGGGUGAGUAACACGUGGGUGACCUGCCCUGCACUUCGGGAUAAGCCUGGGAAACUGGGUCUAAUACCGGCUAGUGUGGGAUGGGCCCGCGGCCUAUCAGCUUGUUGGUGGGGUAAUGGCCUACCAAGGCGGCGACGGGUAGCCGGCCUGAGAGGGUGGACGGCCACAGUGGGACUGAGACACGAACCAGAAUACUACGGGAGGCAGGAGUGGAGAAUAUUGCGCAAUAGGCGGAAGCCUGAUGAAGCGACGCCGGGUGGGGGAUGACGGCCUUCGGGUUGUAAACGCCCUACACCAUCGACGCGGUAGAUGGAGAAGAAGCACCGGCUAACUACGUGCCAGCAGCCGCGGAAAUUC